rnacentral:rRNA from 1 species
UACGGAGGGGGGUUAGCGUUGUUCGGAAUUACUGGGCGUAAAGCGCACGUAGGCGGAUCAGAAAGUUGGGGGUGAAAUCCCGGGGCUCAACCCCGGGAACUGCCUCCAAAAACUCUGGUCUUGAGUUCGAGAGAGGUGAGUGGAAUUCCGAGUGUAGAGGUGAAAUUCGUAGAUAUUCGGAGGAACACCAGUGGCGAAGGCGGCUACACUGCUCGAUACUGACGCUGAGGUGCGAAAGUGUGGGGAGCAAACAGGAUUAGAUACCCCUGUAAUC